ACGCACGCUGGCGGCGUGCCUAAUACAUGCAAGUCGAACGAGAGCAACCGGUGCUUGCACUGGUCAAUCUAGUGGCGAACGGGUGAGUAACACGUGGGUAACCUGCCCAUCAGAGGGGGAUAACAUCCGGAAACGGAUGCUAAAACCGCAUAGGUCUUCGAACCGCAUGGUUUGAAGAGGAAAAGAGGCGCAAGCUUCUGCUGAUGGAUGGACCCGCGGUGCAUUAGCUAGUUGGUGAGGUAACGGCUCACCAAGGCCGUGAUGCAUAGCCGACCUGAGAGGGUGAUCGGCCACAUUGGGACUGAGACACGGCCCAAACUCCUACGGGAGGCAGCAGUAGGGACUCUUCCGCAAUGGACGCAAGUCUGACGGAGCAACGCCGCGUGAGUGAAGAAGGUUUUCGGAUCGUAAAACUCUGUUGUUAGAGAAGAACAAGUGCUAGAGUAACUGUUAGCGCCUUGACGGUAUCUAACCAGAAAGCCACGGCUAACUACGU
rnacentral:rRNA from 1 species